rnacentral:lncRNA from 1 species
CAAUGAACAGUCUCCAUAUCUGUUUCUACCUCACUCUCCAAAGGCAAUAGCCUGUGGUGGUGGUGGCUGAUGGAGCCAAUGAUGACCAGAGUGCAGACAGUUGAAGCCCCAUUUGACAUGGACUAGAUUUCAACUCAGUUAUUCUCCAGCCCAGCCUGCAGGACCCAGAGGGUAGAGGAAAUGUCUUCCUCCUCUACAGUUUGGCAACUCUGUGGAACAAAACUUCAUCUACUGGACACUGAUCACUCCUGGACUUCUACAGCCAAGAGAUCCUGGACCCUUGACAAGAGCCUGUAGGAGGCAGUGGGUUUUACCUACACUACACAUCUCUGACUGGGAGCAAUCGAGAGGAAAGUGGUAUUACAGAAAGCGGUGUAGCAGGACUCAUCUUGACAAGGAGAUUCGUCGAACUGAAAUUGGU